rnacentral:tmRNA from 1 species
GGGGGCGUACUGGCUUCGACGUGUUGGCAAGGGUGUACGGAGCAUGCCGAGCGUUGUAUGUGUGCUCGUAAAACAAGCAUUCAUUUUUGAACUGGCAAUCAGUCUCAACCUGUGGGGGUUGCUCUCGCGUAAAAGCGUAAGCUAACCUUUGCAGUAGACCCGCAUUAUUCGGGUUUACGCGUAAACAGAGGUGCAUCUAUCCGCACUGUUUACGUGUAACUUUUAGAUAGGUCGCACCAGGCAAGGUUUUUUAGCUGCGUAACCUGGUUGUGUAUACGAAGCUGACGUGCAGUAUAUACUCUGUGUCUUUACAGAGGUAUUGCACGUAUUAAUUAAAGACUAAGCAUGUAGGGCUGUGUAUCUAAGUUAGUGCGGACAUGGGUUCGAUUCCCAUCGCCUCCACCA